UACGUAGGGUGCAAGCGUUAAUCGGAAUUACUGGGCGUAAAGCGUACGCAGGCGGCUUUGCAAGACAGGUGUGAAAUCCCCGGGCCUAACCUGGGAACUGCAUUUGUGACUGCAUCGCUAGAGUCUGUCAGAGGGGGGUGGAAUUCCACGUGCAGCAGUGAAAUGCGUAGAGAUGUGGAAGAACACCGAUGGCGAAGGCAGCCCCCUGGGAUGAGACUGACGCUCAUGUACGAAAGCGUGGGGAGCAAACAGG
rnacentral:rRNA from 1 species